rnacentral:misc_RNA from 1 species
GAAAUGCGAUAAGUAAUGUGAAUUGCAGAAUUCAGUGAAUCAUCGAAUCUUUGAACGCACAUUGCGCCUAUUAGUAUUCUAGUAGGCAUGCCUGUUUGAGUAUCAUGAAAUCUUCAAAGUAAAUCUUUUGUUAACUCAAUUGGUUUCUACUUUGGUAUUGGAGGUCUUUGCAGCUUCACACCUGCUCCUCUUUGUUCAUUAGCUGGAUCUCAGUGUUAUGCUUGGUUCCACUCGGCGUGAUAAGUUAUCUAUCGCUGAGGACACUGUAAAAGGUGGCCAAGGUAAAUGCAGAUGAACCGCUUCUAAUAGUCCAUUUACUUGGACAAUACUUUUAUGAUCUGAUCUCAAAUCAGGUAGGACUACCCGCUGAACUUAAGC